AGAGUUUGAUCCUGGCUCAGAACGAACGCUGGCGGCGUGCCUAACACAUGCAAGUCGAACGAGAAAGGGGCUUCGGCCCUGAGUAAAGUGGCGCACGGGUGAGUAACACGUAGGUAACCUGCCUCUAAGAUUGGGAUAACCUGUCGAAAGACGAGCUAAUACCAAAUAAGACCACAGUCUCCUCGGGGACAGAGGUCAAAGGUAGCCUCUAUUUAUAAGUAUCGCUAAGAGAUGGGCCUGCGUACCAUUAGCUAGUUGGUGAGGUAACGGCUCACCAAGGCAAAGAUGGUUAGCUGGUCUGAGAGGAUGAUCAGCCACACUGGAACUGAGACACGGCCCUGACUCCUUUGGGGGGCAGCAAUGAGGGAUCUUGCGCAAUGGGCGAAAGCCUGACGCAGCGACGCCGCGUGGGUGAGGAAGUCCUUCGGGAUGUAAAGCCCUUUUGUCGGGGACGAGAACGGACGGUACCCGGCGAAUAAGCCCCGGCUAACUACGUGCCAGCAGCCGCGGUAAUACGUAGGGGGCUAGCGUUGUCCGGAUUUAUUGGGCGUAAAGAGCGUGUAGGCGGCCGGCUAGGUCUGGUGUGAAAACUCGAGGCUCAACCUCGAGAUGUCGCCGGAAACCAGUCGGCUAGAGUCCGGGAGAGGAGAGUGGAAUUCCUGGUGUAGCGGUGAAAUGCGCAGAUAUCAGGAAGAACACCUAUGGCGAAAGCAGCUCUCUGGGACGGUACUGACGCUGAGACGCGAAAGCGUGGGGUGCAAACAGGAUUAGAUACCCUGGUAGUCCACGCCGUAAACGAUGGGCGCUAGGUGUGGGCGGUGUCGACUCCGUCCGUGCCGAAGCUAACGCAUUAAGCGCCCCGCCUGGGGAGUACGGCCGCAAGGCUAAAACUCAAAGGAAUUGACGG
rnacentral:rRNA from 1 species